AGAGAUAAACUCAUUUCACUCAACCUGCAGACAUUCCUGUUUUUUUUUCUUUCCUUUAACAGGUUGUCUGGGAGAAUGGAUGUACUUCAAUGGUAGUUUAUAUUACAUUUCUUCAAACAAGAAAUCCUGGCAAUAAAGUAGAAAUGACUGUCUCCAGAGAGGUGCAGAUCUGGAAUUCACAAGAAAUUUUCAAAAGCUGAUGUGGACAGGAUUGACUGACAGUGAGCAAGAGGGGAUCUGGAAAUGGAUGGAUGGGCCUCUGCUUAUUACAAGCUACUGGGCUGCGUAUGAGCCAAAUGGUUUUCCACAAAGAGAUGAGGACUGUGCAGAAAUAAAGAACUUUCAUUUCCAAAAUGCCUAGAAUGAUGAAUCAUGUGACCUUGAGAGAGUCUGGAUCUGCGAGAAGAAACUGGUUACAUAAAUCAGUAUCCAAACUCAUCACACAGUGAUGGAAAACAGAAAAGAAGUUCAUGAAAUGUAUAUGACUGAUCCUGUCAGCUCACUGUUAUCUACAGUAUAAGCUUUGCAUCAAAAGUCCUUAUCAUC